UCAGCCUGAUGAACCAAACUACUCAGUAAUCUCCUCCAUGAAGACUGGGGGUCAGCCUGAUGAACCAAACUACUCAGUAAUCUCCUCCAUGAAGACUGGGGGUCAGCCUGAUGAACCAAACUACUCAGUAAUCUCCUCCAUGAAGACUGGAGGUCAGCCUGAUGAACUAAACUACUCAGUAAUCUCCUCCAUGAAGACUGGGGGUCAGUGUAAAUGUCUAUCUGAAACAUGUCAAUGUUACCAUGUUACAUCCCAGUCCCCCACCUGGUCCUGAAGACAGGAACUAUGUAUCCAAUGACAUCGUUGGUGUCAGGGUCCAUAGCCAGGUACUUCUUGACUCUCGGCGGCAGCAGCUGGCUAGGUAUGAACUCCGACCUCUUCUCUAAUUCGACAGAACUCUUCUGCACUCUGACAGGGGGAGAGAAGGUGAGAGAGAGAGAGAGAGAGAGAGAGAGAGAGAGAGAGAGCAGAGAGAGAGAGAGAGAGAGAGACAGAGAGAGAGAGAGAGAGAGAGAGACAGAGAGAGAGAGAGAGAGAGAGACAGAGAGAGAGAGAGAGAGAGAGAGAGAGAGACAGAGAGAGACAGAGAGAGACAGAGAGAGAGAGAGAGAGAGAGAGAGCGAGAGAGAGAGAGAGAGACAGACUGAGUCAGAGCUUUUACAACUCUUUAACACCGGGGAGUUGUGUCAUAGCAACAGUAGCUGUGUCAUAGCGACAGAUGUUCUACCUGGAUUUACCUUUACAGUAACAGUUACUACUGAGAAAGAUGUAAGAAUGGAAAGUUAUCAGUGUCACUAAACAAAUACAUAUAUGAAGACAUACUGAUAAUGUAACCUAGAAAUAACUGGCAUGAUCCUGACACACAUUACGGACACAAUAACAACACACAAACAACAGACAAAAUAGAUAAAGAUACACAAGAUACCACAGACACAUUAGAAACCACAGAUAAACCACAGAUACACCACAGCUAUACCACAGAUACACCACAGAUACACCACAGAUAUACCAGACACCACAGAUACACCACAGCUAUACCACAGAUACACCACAGAUAUACCACACACCACAGAUAUACCACAGAUAUACCAGACACCACAGAUACACCAGAUACCACAGAUAAACCAGACACCACAGAUACACCAGACACCACAGAUACACCACAGAUACACCACAGAUACACCAGACACCACAGAUAUACCACAGAUACACCACACACCACAGAUACACCACAGAUACACCAGACACCACAGAUAUACCAGACACCACAGAUACACCAGACACCACAGAUAAACCAGAUACCACAGAUACACCACAGAUACACCAGACACCACAGAUAUACCAGACACCACAGAUACACCACAGAUACACCACAGAUACACCACAGAUAUACCAGACACCACAGAUACACCAGACACCACAGAUAUACCAGACACCACAGAUACACCAGACACCACAGAUACACCACAGAUACACCACAGAUACACCAGACACCACAGAUAUACCAGACACCACAGAUACACCACAGAUAUACCAGACACCACAGAUACACCAGACACCACAGAUACACCAGACACCACAGAUAAACCAGACACCACAGAUACACCAGACACCACAAAUACACCACAGAUACACCAGACACCACAAAUACACCACAGAUACACCAGACACCACAGAUAAACCAGAUACCACAGAUACACCACAGAUACACCACAGAUACACCAGACACCACAAAUACACCACAGAUAUACCAGACACCACAGAUACACCACAGAUACACCACAGAUACACCAGACACCACAGAUACAUCACAGAUAUACCACAGAUACACCAGACACCACAGAUACACCACAGAUACAUUACAGAUAUACCACAGAUACACCAGACACCACAAAUACACCACAGAUAUACCAGACACCACAGAUACACCACAGAUACACCACAGAUACACCAGACACCACAGAUACACCACAGAUACACCAGACACCACAGAUACACCAUAGAUACACCACAGAUACACCAGACACCACAGAUACACCAGACACCACAGAUACACCAGACACCACAGAUACACCACAUUGGGAGAGCCAAAGAAACCUGUAAGUUUCUACAUUCUACGUUUUUCUCUAAGAGUGCAGUGCAGAGAGCAGAUUGGACCAUUAUAAUGAUGAUUAAGCCUCUAACGGCACAUCAAAUACAUCGCUACAAGCUAAAGUUUAGAAUCCCAAGACUAAAGAUACAGGUCUGUUCAGUGAGCAUUCGACCAAGGCACCACCAAUGCAUUUCAGAAUUAAACUGUUCCUGUACAGGCCAGCCAACAGCAGCGUCAUUAUUAAUAGUAAUAAAUCAUGUCCCAAUAGUACAGUCAUUGAGUUGUUUUCCGCUGAAGCAGACACAUGUAGCUCAACUCUCUCCAUGAGUAUCUCUGGCUCCCAGCCUGCAAGAGAUCAUGUUUACUCAGCAGGAAGAAAGGCAUUCAGCCGGGUCCCUCAGAUUCAGCAUGUCUCCAACGUGAAGCCUUCAGCAUGUCUCCAACAUGGAGACUUCAGCCUUCAGCAUGUCUCCAACAUGGAGCCUUCAGCCUUCAGCAGGUCUCCAACAUGGAGCCUUCAGCCUUCAGCAUGUCUCCAACAUGGAGCCUUCAGCCUUCAGCAUGUCUCCAACAUGGAGCCUUCAGCCUUCAGCAUGUCUCCAACAUGGAGCCUUCAGCAUGUCUCCAACAUGGAGCCUUCAGCCUUCAGCAUGUCUCCAACAUGGAGCCUUCAGCAUGUCUCCAACAUGGAGCCUUCAGCAUGUCUCCAACAUGGAGCCUUCAGCAUGUCUCCAACAUGGAGCCUUCAGCCUUCAGCAGGUCUCCAACAUGGAGCCUUCAGCCUUCAGCAUGUCUCCAACAUGGAGCCUUCAGCCUUCAGCAUGUCUCCAACAUGGAGCCUUCAGCCUUCAGCCUGUCUCCAACAUGGAGCCUUCAGCCUUCAGCAGGUCUCCAACAUGGAGCCUUCAGCCUUCAGCAGGUCUCCAACAUGGAGCCUUCAGCCUUCAGCAGGUCUCCAACAUGAAGCCUUCAGCCUUCAGCAUGUCUCCAACAUGGAGCCUUCAGCAUGUCUCCAACAUGGAGCCUUCAGCAUGUCUCCAACAUGGAGCCUUCAGCCUUCAGCAGGUCUCCAACAUGGAGCCUUCAGCAGGUCUCCAACAUGGAGCCUUCAGCCUUCAGCAUGUCUCCAACAUGGAGCCUUCAGACUGGUCCUCCAGCCUUCAGCAGGUCUCCAACAUGGAGCCUUCAGACUGGUCCUCCAGCCUUCAGCAGGUCUCCAACAUGGAGCCUUCAGACUGGUCCUCCAGCCUUCAGCAGGUCUCCAACAUGGAGCCUUCAGACCACUGCAUUUCUCCAACAGGGCGCCUUCAGUCUGGUCCUCCAGCCUUCAGCAUGUCUCCAUCAUGAAGCCUUCAGCCUUCAGCAUGUCUCCAACAUGGAGCCUUCAGCAUGUCUCCAACAUGGAGCCUUCAGCAUGUCUCCAACAUGAAGCCUUUAGUCUGAAGAACAAAAGCCUUCUGACCAUGUGUCUACAGAACCAUGUGAUAUUGUUGAUAUUGUACCAGAGGCUACUAAACUAACAUCUGGAAUGAUUUUAAGAUGGUCAUACCAUGGAUCAUGUCGCUAUUUGACUUGGAAUUUUUGGAUCCCUUUUGGUAUUAACCAUGUUUAUUUAGUCCAGAGAAACACAUUUAAUAACACAUUCAUAAAUGGCAAAAAAAGACAGUCAAAAAAUAAAUCACAGGGAAUAAGCUUUUGAAGAGUCUAUUUUUUUUUACACAUACUUAAACCAUUAUUUUUGGUGGCAGAAACGUACCUCCAUACAUCAAUGUGUUUGUGUGUGUUACUUUCAGAUGAGUCCUGUGUCACGUGUGGUGGUCGUAGAGCAGAACAGAGAGCAUCACGGUGUUCAUGAGACUCUUCCCUUUCCACAGAGUGGUCACUCCAUAGGCCAAACCGAUGUUUCAUGUCUCAUGGUCUAACAAACAGCGCUGUAGCUCGGCCACCUUCCACCGCAGAUACGGAAGGCCGACACACACAGAUAUCUCUAGCUUAAACUGAUCGAUGAUUAUUAUUAUAUUACUUAGAUUGAGGCAAGGGUGCGUCAACAGACAUAAGGAUUAUGAAGAUAUUUCCUCCAGACAUAACAAAUCAGCAGUCAGUCACAUACCUGUGUCAACACAACAUAGUAAAAGCAAAACCCUCAACACAAAAACUACUACUACAGUCAUCUUUAGUAGUAUUAGACCAACAGUCACUUCACCACACCAGGACUGUUACAACCAGGACAUGAGUUAAUCACGCGGAUAGAUUAUAAAUGAUCAAACAGCAGAGGAGAGGAGCAGUAGAGAGAUGCCACAGUCUUCCUCUCCUCCUCAUCCUCCUGUUCUUACCCUAUGGUGCUGUGCUGGAUUCUCUUGUGGGCAGCAUAUGACAGCUGACUAAAAGAGGAGCGAGAGCUGUGAUGGCUGAUGCUCUCACGCUGCUGCUUCUUGUCACUGUGGUGGUGGUGGUGUUGUUUCACAUGGAACGAUGCAGACAUCCUGACUGGCUGAUAAGUUCAGACUCCAGGCUCCCCGCCACACGCUACGUUCAAUCAGAACAGGAUUUGUAUCUAUUCAGUUUAAAAUACGUCUGUAAAACAAUCUGAUUAUGGUUAUGUUGGGGUUAUGUUAUAGUUGGUUUAGUUCAAGCUUGCAGUUAAAUAUGUCAAUUUAUGAUUAAAUGGUUUUAAUUGAUAUUAUUAUUAUUAUUAGACUAAAUAGAACAGUUGUACAGUGGGGGGAAAAAAGUAUUUGAUCCCCUGCUGAUUUUGUACGUUUGCCCACUGACAAAGAAAUGAUCAGUCUAUAAUUUUAAUGGGAGGUUUAUUUGAACAGUGAGAGACAGAAUAACAACAAAAAAAUCCAGAAAAACGCAUGUCAAAAAUGUUAUAAAUUUAUUUGCAUUUUA
rnacentral:lncRNA from 1 species